GACGAACGCUGGCGGCGUGCUUAACACAUGCAAGUCGAACGGAAAGGCCCUGCUUGCAGGGUACUCGAGUGGCGAACGGGUGAGCAACACGUGGGUGAUCUGCCCUGCACUUCGGGAUAAGCCUGGGAAACUGGGUCUAAUACCGGAUAGGAGCCAUUUUUAGUGUGAUGGUUGGAAAGUUUUUUCGGUGUAGGAUGAGCUCGCGGCCUAUCAGCUUGUUGGUGGGGUAAUGGCCUACCAAGGCGGCGACGGGUAGCCGGCCUGAGAGGGUGGACGGCCACAUUGGGACUGAGAUACGGCCCAGACUCCUACGGGAGGCAGCAGUGGGGAAUAUUGCACAAUGGGCGCAAGCCUGAUGCAGCGACGCCGCGUGGGGGAUGACGGCCUUCGGGUUGUAAACUCCUUUCGCUAGGGACGAAGCUUUUUGUGACGGUACCUAGAGAAGAAGCACCGGCUAACUACGUG
rnacentral:rRNA from 1 species